CUAAACCACCAAUAUAAACUGACAAUGUUCAUAACAAGACAAAGCCUAGCACUAAAAACUAAACCAUUUUUUUACCUGAGUAUGGGAGACAGAAAAGGUUCGACAAAAGCAAUAGAGAGAGUACCGCAAGGGAAAGCUGAAAGAGAAAUGAAACAACCCAUAUAAGCACCGAGAAACAAGACUAAACCUU
rnacentral:rRNA from 1 species